GUCCUGCGAUAUUACGAGUAAUAUCAACUUCUUGGCUUCUGAAUAUGAGGAAGAAUAUCACAGGGGGUCCGAAUGCAGCCGGGAUCACAAAGAAAGCAGGUCGUUUGCAAUCUACCGGAGCCUAAGGGCAGAAGGCAGGAUAUUAAUAACAAUUUCACAGGCUGGGUGAACACAGCCGGCGAUGCUGAAAUUAGUAUCAUCCUCUACCCCUCUUCCCCUCCUGGCUCUCAGUCCCCGCCUCACGGGUUAUGUAGCGGGUUAUGGCAAGAAGACAAACUGCAGUUUCCUGCACAGAACAGCACAAACAAUGAUCCAAGCUCAGUUACAACACAAUAUUGGUCAUCAUUUGACAAUGGACUUCAUAUCAACCCUUAGAAAUGUUCCUAAAACAGGUCAGCAAAACACCAAGAAGCAAUAUCCUGAAUGGUAGGAAAAUAUCCUUGCUUGUGCAAAUUGUUUCCACUUAAAUUAAUUUUUUUCAACAAAUGUUAAUUAUAUUUUUACUUUCUAAAAAUUUUUAAUAAAAUAUAGCC
rnacentral:lncRNA from 1 species